rnacentral:misc_RNA from 1 species
GAUGAAGAACGUAGCGAAAUGCGAUAAGUAAUGUGAAUUGCAGAAUUCGGUGAAUCAUCGAAUCUUUGAACGCACAUUGCGCCCGCCAGUAUUCUGGCGGGCAUGCCUGUUCGAGCGUCAUUACAACCCUCAGGCCCCCGGGCCUGGCGUUGGGGAUCGGCGGAGCCCCCCGUGGGCACACGCCGUCCCCCAAAUGCAGUGGCGGUCCCGCCGCAGCUUCCAUCGCGUAGUAGCUAACACCUCGCGACUGGAGAGCGGCGCGGCCACGCCGUAAAACACCCAACUCUUCUGAAGUUGACCUCGAAUCAGGUAGGAAUACCCGCUGAACUUAAGCAUAUCAAUAAGCGGAGGA